UUGACGAACGUUUCUUCCUCUCCUGUUGUGUGAUUAAGGGAUCAGACAUCAGCCAAAAAACAUUUGGAUCCAAAACUCUCUGUGGCAAAUCCUGGAUGCCAAUGGAUUGGACCGGCAUCAACACCCAAUAUUAAACAUUCGAAAUCCCAAACUCGGGUCAUCGGGAGAUAUUUAAAGGAGCCUUUUUUGUUCCAGAGAUCCAACGAACGAUCUCAGCCUCAAGAACGAAAAGCCGAAAGUUCUUCGCUCCGUCUUUUUUUGGACAAUGAGAAUGAAGGGGGCAUGAUCCGAGGCCAAAGCCCCUCGAUGUAAUUUCAAGAUUCUUGGAUCCAAUUUAUAUGAGAUUAUGAAUGCAUUCAGAAUCCAGGCAGGGAGGAAAUUGCCUUUGGAACAGCAUCUCGACAGCCUCCGACAAAGAUUCGCCCCCAACCCAAUUUGUUUAGUCUACAAUCCCUUGCAAUCAGAUCCGAAACAAAGCUUCUCGCAAUGCAUUCGCAAUCGAUCUGCACUAGUACCUGUUACAGCAGACUCUCGAGGAAUUCAUCCUGAGGUUGGGCUCAAAAAGUGGACCGACUAUCUGGAGAUUUCCUCAGGCUGUCACAUAUGAUCAACCCCCUCUUACUGUGUAUCAAGAGGCCAUGUUGGUCUUGACAUGGCGGUGAGCAGUAUCUGAUGUGAAUUUCGAGCCAAUCUACAACCUGGGAUAGAAUUUCCAAGCACUUUCGCAUCUCAUCAUCUCUGACACUGAAACCCGACACUAACUCAAUGAUCUGUGACAAAUGUGUUCCUUAUCAGCUCAUAACGUCCAUCUUCUGCCAAUGCCAAAGUAGGGUCUGUGUAUGCCUGCUCAACUCAUAGUUCAUAAUAAACAUGACACACGUCAUGCGGGGAGCAUGCACUUGAGAACUCAAGAUAGCAAGCACUUGGGAUAUUCAAUGACCAGGCUUGAGCCAGGGGAGCAGAAAUGAUACACGCUCGUUCCAGGUGGACCCAGGACGUGCUCCAUUUGGGCAUAACAUUUCGUAAACUGUUACACAACGAAAGCAAGAUAUCAGGAUGCUCCACUUCGAAUGAGAAUGAUUUGGAUCCACUGUCAAUGGCCAAUAUAUUAGCCAAUCAGUGCUACAUUAUUAUAACCGUAACUUGGGAAUUUGGGCCAAUUAUUCCACUAAAGUUGUUAAAGCGUCCUUCCUGUUAAAACAUUUAGUAAAAAUCCUUCGUCCCCUGUUGUAUCUAUUCGCUUUCUUCUCCAACCUUUAUAAUGAUCCUUAACGCAGUAUUCAAGACUUGGUUUAAUCAUUCCCUUUAGAAAAAUAAAAUUUACGAUUUGCUGUAACAUGGUUGUUUCGGAGAGGAAAGUUCACAUCAGUUUAUUCAUGCCUAGAAAGGAUGGUCAAAGAUUAUUGCAUUGGGUAAUUAGAACAAAAGAAAUUUCUAAGCUUGUGAACCGACAACGCCUAGUUCCAUAAACUGUUAGUCAUUAAACGACAUUCGGCAAUCAGGUGAAUAAACCUUACUAAU